UACGUAGGGCGCAAGCGUUGUCCGGAAUUAUUGGGCGUAAAGAGCUCGUAGGCGGCCAGUUGCGUCCGCUGUGAAAUCCCGGGGCUUAACCCCGGGCGUGCAGUGGAUACGGGCUGGCUGGAGGCAGGCAGGGGAGAACGGAAUCCUGGUGUAGCGGUGAAAUGCGCAGAUAUCAGGAGGAACACCGGUGGCGAAGGCGGUUCUCUGGGCCUGUACUGACGUGGAGGAGCGAAAGCGUGGGGAGCGAACAGG
rnacentral:rRNA from 1 species